UACGUAGGGCGCAAGCGUUAUCCGGAAUUAUUGGGCGUAAAGAGCUCGUAGGCGGUUUGUCGCGUCUGCUGUGAAAACUGGGGGGCUCAACCCCCCAGCCUGCAGUGGGUACGGGCAGACUAGAGUGCGGUAGGGGAGAUUGGAAUUCCUGGUGUAGCGGUGGAAUGCGCAGAUAUCAGGAGGAACACCGAUGGCGAAGGCAGAUCUCUGGGCCGUAACUGACGCUGAGGAGCGAAAGCAUGGGGAGCGAACAGG
rnacentral:rRNA from 1 species